rnacentral:tRNA from 1 species
UGCGUGUAGAGAGAUUCGAACUCUCACAUUCUAGCGUUUGAAGCUAGCGACUCUGCCAAUUGGCCUAUACACGC